rnacentral:rRNA from 1 species
GCCGGGCUUCGGUUCGGCGGGAGUGGCGCACGGGUGAGUAGCGCGUGGGAACCUGCCCUGUUGUGGGGGAUAACCGAGGGAAACUUCGGCUAAUACCGCAUACGCCGGUUGUCUUGAGAGAGAUGGCCGGGAAAGAUUUAUCGCAGCAGGAGGGGCCCGCGUCGGAUUAGCUAGUUGGCGGGGUAACGGCCCACCAAGGCUCCGAUCCGUAGCUGGUCUGAGAGGAUGAUCAGCCACACUGGGACUGAGACACGGCCCAGACUCCUACGGGAGGCAGCAGUGGGGAAUAUUGGACAAUGGGCGCAAGCCUGAUCCAGCAAUGCCGCGUGAGUGAUGAAGGCCUUAGGG